rnacentral:rRNA from 1 species
UACGGAGGGGGCUAGCGUUGUUCGGAAUUACUGGGCGUAAAGCGCGCGUAGGCGGACCUGCAAGUCGGGGGUGAAAGCCCGAGGCUCAACCUCGGAACUGCCUUCGAUACUGCGGGUCUCGAGUCCGGGAGAGGUGAGUGGAAUUCCUAGUGUAGAGGUGAAAUUCGUAGAUAUGGGGAGGAACACCGGUGGCGAAGGCGACCAUCUGGACGGAUACUGACGCUGAGACGCGAAAGCGUGGGUAGCAAACAGG